AUACAACAAAAAAUAACAAUUAUAACGAUUGCAAAUAUUUACACCAGAGAAUCAGAAUUCGUCCGUUCAAGAGAGAUGUAAGAAUGAUUUUACCUUACGAAUCUCCUCCAAGGCUUUAAAAAUUCAGAGACGGACACAACAUGAAAAGUCCCUGCAGAGAGUUUCGGCCGAUUUCUCCUAA